GGACCAAGGAGUCUAGCAUGUGCGCGAGUCAUUGGGACUCUAACGAAACCUAAAGGCGUAAUGAAAGUGAAGGUCCGCCUAGCGCGGGCCGAGGGAGGAUGGGUGUCCCCGAGGGGACGCCUCGCACUCCCAGGGCGUCUCGUUCUCAUUGCGAGAAGAGGCGCACCAAGAGCGUACACGCUGGGACCCGAAAGAUGGUGAACUAUGCCUGGUCAGGACGAAGUCAGGGGAAACCCUGAUGGAGGUCCGUAGCGAUUCUGACGUGCAAAUCGAUCGUCGGAACUGGGUAUAGGGGCGAAAGACUAAUCGAACCAUCUAGUAGCUGGUUCCCUCCGAAGUUUCCCUCAGGAUAGCUGGCGCUCGCUUCUCGCGAGUCUCAUUCGGUAAAGCGAAUGAUUAGAGGCAUUGGGGUCGAAACGGCCUCAACCUAUUCUCAAACUUUAAAUGGGUGAGAUCUCCGGCUUGCUUGAACUGUGAAGCCGCGAGAUAUCGGAUCAGAGUGCCAAGUGGGCCACUUUUGGUAAGCAGAACUGGCGCUGUGGGAUGAACCAAACGCCGAGUUAAAGCGCCUAAAUCGACGCUUAUGGGAUACCAUGAAAGGCGUUGGUAACUUAAGACAGCAGGACGGUGGCCAUGGAAGUCGGA
rnacentral:rRNA from 1 species